CGCAGCGUCGCGUCGUGAAGGAGACGUUUUCCCCUAAGUGUACGUUUAAUAAAAAGGAUACAGUGAAAUUAUAAAUGAAAGCGUUAUCAGGAUACAUCGAUCGUUAUAGUCGUAGCUAGGGUCUUGCACGGUCCGUAGCGUCACGGAACCGUAGCCCGCCUCUGUGUACAACCGCUGUGUAUCGCUCCGCGUCGCUGAUCGAACGCUCGACAAUUCGAUUAUUUUGCGAUCUGCGAUCCCGUGAUCACGUUUCACGCUUCAACCUAUGUUACGGGCUUUCCUUCGCCAAAAGAGAUCCCUUUUUCGGAUGGGAAUCGCGCUGAAGAGGUUUUGAAAUUGGAUCGAAUCGAGGAGAUGGUAUUACCGUGGUUGGAAAAAUAGAUAUGAAUUUGGUAAAAGUGUUUCAUUUCUUGGAUAAUAGACAGAGGAAUAAACACGAUGCCGAAGAAGUAAGGACCAGUCCCAGCAGCCAUAAAUCAAGCAAAGGGACGUGGAACUGUGAAACAACCAUCCUGUUUAUGUCCUUCCGGAAGUCACGUCUUGAUCUAACCAAAUAGAAUUUAAAAAAGACGUAGAAAUUAGAAAUUAGAAUCUUUAUCAUAGUUUAUAUGUCACUGAACAUUAAAAAUAAUAUUGUAAUACUGUGCAACGAUA